UACCAUUUGUUUAAAUAGC
rnacentral:piRNA from 1 species